rnacentral:rRNA from 1 species
GACGAACGCUGGCGGCGUGCUUAACACAUGCAAGUCGAGCGGUAAGGCCCUUUCGGGGGUACACGAGCGGCGAACGGGUGAGUAACACGUGGGUGACCUGCCCUCAGCUCUGGGAUAAGCCUGGGAAACCGGGUCUAAUACUGGAUAUGACUCCAUGACGCAUGUUGUGGGGUGGAAAGCCUUGUGCGGCUGAGGAUGGGCCCGCGGCCUAUCAGCUUGUUGGUGGGGUGANGGCCUACCAAGGCGACGACGGGUAGCCGGCCUGAGAGGGCGACCGGCCACACUGGGACUGAGACACGGCCCAGACUCCUACGGGAGGCAGCAGUGGGGAAUCUUGCGCAAUGGGCGAAAGCCUGACGCAGCGACGCCGCGUGAGGGAUGACGGCCUG